AUAUGCUUGUCCCGAAGAUUAAGCCAUGCAUGCCUCCGAUUUUGUAGCUUGAUUUAAAUCUGCGAUGGGCUCCGUACAACUGUUGCCACCCAGCAGCGCCCCGGGGGGACCCGUGUGGCCUCGUCAUCAACAAACGUAAGUAUAGCCUCUUCAACAAUCUGGAACGCAACGGCCUCGGCGGAUAACCGAGGUAAUUCUUUGGCUAAUACGUGCUUUGAAGACCAACGGAUGGGGUCUCUCACUGAGCUGGGCAUCCCUCGCGCACGCGGGGGAGUCAACUGCCCAAACGCCUGCAACAAGGCACCGUUGGGGCCGCCGAAACUGAACUCCGGUUCCCCCUUCCCCGCCCAGCCAGGCGGGGGGGGGGCGCCACGUGACGUGGAUGGCGAUACCCUACCGGCGUUCUUUCGUCGGUGCGAAUUGAGGGGCUUCCGACCUAUCAACUGGGAUGAAUGGAGCCCGGCUCCACAUGGUCGCAACGGGUACAGAGGAUUAGGGUUCGGUCCUGGAGAGGUAGCCUCAAAAAUCGCUACCACUUCUAAGGAAGGCAGCAGGCGCGCAACGUUCCCCAUGGGGAAGCCCUGAGGACGUGAAGGGACAUAGCAAUACCGGGCGAUUUAAAGCUUGGUAAUUGAAAUGGGGGCGAUUUAAAUCCCCCACCGAGUAACAAUUGGAGGACAAGUCUGGUGCCAGCACCCGCGGUAAUUCCAGCUCCAAUGGCAUCUCAUUAAGUUGUUGCAGUUAAAACGCUCGUAGCUAACCAAGGCCGUAACCCCUCGCCAGGACCCAGCGGGACGGCCCUGUGGCCCUGUUGGGCGCCGACCUAGGGCAGUAAAAUGCUCUGGGAAAGCGCCCUUCUCAGCGCGCCUAGGGCCACGGUACCGCCGGGAACCCUCCUUGGGGAAGCUGCCAAACCAGCCCCGGAUGCAAGUGCUCGCCGGGGUCCAGGCUUGCCUGCGCGUGUGGGCGUCUAAUCAACGCUCGCCCCUUCAAGCCUCCCGCCUGCGCCCAGCCGGGGCCCCUUACUUUGAGUAAAUUAGAGCGCUAAAAGCAGGUCGCCAAGAGGACCUAAUACACGUGAAUACUUCAGCAAAGAAUAGUCGAAUACGCCUAUUGUAUAGAACUGGUAUGCAAGCUAUGUGCCCCACUCCCCGACCUAGGUCCCCCCCCUCCCCCCCGCUGCUGCUUUCCCGCCCGCAAGGGCGGGUUAGCGCGUUGGGGGGACGGCGCGUGGGGGCGUGGGAAGGGCGGGGCACAAGGAAUGAUUUAUUGGGGAGAUCGGGGCAGGCCACAUGGCAGGGGUAGGGGUGAAAUCCGUUGAUCCUUGCUAGGUGAACAAAAGCGAAAGCAGCCUGCUAGUACUCUUUCUUAAGUCAAGAACGAAAGUCUGGGGAUCGAAGAUGAUCAGAUACCAUCGUAGUCCAGACCCUAAAUGAUGCCGACCAUGGAUGGACCGCCGUCCAUCCCGACCCGGGCCGCACCUUGCGAGAAAUCACAAGUCUAUGGGCUCCGGGGGGAGUAUGGUCGCAAGACUGAAACUUAAAGGAAUUGACGGAAAAGCACACAAGGAGUGGAGCCUGCGGCUUAAUUUGACUCAACACGGGGAAACUCACUAUGGUAAGAGAAGGGGAUGAAGGUCAGCCGAGCAGGGCUUACCUGAUUCCUUCAAUGGUGGUGCAUGGUCGUUCUUAGUUCGUGGAUUGAUUUGUCUGGUCUAUUCCGCUAACGAGCGAGAACCUGUCCUUCCUUGGUUAGGACCCCUGCGCUCGCAUGGGGAGCGAGGCGGCCUGCUGGGCGGGGGGUGGGGCGCGAGCCCCGCCUCCUGCUGGGCGGGCUGCCGAGCAACCCGAGCUGAGAAAUAGCGCCUGGAGCCAACCCAGGGGAACUUGUCCCGUCCAAGGGACCGUAAGCAGGUCAAUAACAGGUCAGUGAUGCCCUUAGAUACCUUAGGCUGCACGCGCGCUACAAUGGGGGGAAGAACGGGCUCCUUGUGCCUAGCAGGCGGCGGGAAACCCUGGGAAAGCCCCCCAUAUCCGGGAUUAUGGGGUGUAAACACCCCUUAUGAACAAGGAAUUUCUAGUAACCGCGCGUCACCAGCGCGCGGUGAUUU
rnacentral:rRNA from 1 species